AACGAACGCUGGCGGCAUGCCUAACACAUGCAAGUCGAACGAGACCUUCGGGUCUAGUGGCGCACGGGUGCGUAACGCGUGGGAACCUGCCCUUAGGUUCGGAAUAACUCCCCGAAAGGGGUGCUAAUACCGGAUAAUGUCUUCGGACCAAAGAUUUAUCGCCUUUGGAUGGGCCCGCGUUGGAUUAGCGAGUUGGUAGGGUAAAAGCCUACCAAGGCGACGAUCCAUAGCUGGUCUGAGAGGAUGAUCAGCCACACUGGGACUGAGACACGGCCCAGACUCCUACGGGAGGCAGCAGUGGGGAAUAUUAGACAAUGGGCGAAAGCCUGAUCCAGCAAUGCCGCGUGAGUGAUGAAGGCCUUAGGGUUGUAAAGCUCUUUUACCCGGGAUGAUAAUGACAGUACCGGGAGAAUAAGCACCGGCUAACUCCGUG
rnacentral:rRNA from 1 species